GUUGCAUAAUUUUAAAUCAUAUGCAUAAUUUAAAUUAAAAUAAUGUUUCAUCGUAAAAAUUACCUAUAACACCCCUUCAGCAGAAAUGGAAUCUUCCAUAUUAUCGUUUCGAGUUGUCUCCCUUUUCGAAGUAUUCGUCAAGAAGAAUUAACUCGUUAAUGCCGAUAAACGUCGUAUUAUAUUAAGAACGAUCUCAAUGUAAACAGAGGAGUGUGUACGGAAAGGAGUCAUGCCCUCUGACCCAAAGGAACUUCAAUAAUUAAAGAGUAAGAAAUGGGGUUCCUCCUAAACUGGUCCGCCGUUCUAUAUAUAGCUUCGCACCGAAGGUCAGUGUAGCGAUAAGUGAACACAACAGGGGUCCAGUUUAGGGUUCCUCCUAGAAUUACGGUGAUAAGAUACGGAAGCAAGUUAACUCGUACCACGGCAUUGGAACCAAAAAAGUUAACUUGUACUACUGGGAAGUCGUACCAUUCAGAAAAAUAUAUAAAAAAUAUGAUGUUUUAUGGGUUUCUGUUUGUAAACUUAAUAGAAAUAAAGUUGAAUUACUUGAAUUUUACACAGGAGUUAAAUGAAAA
rnacentral:lncRNA from 1 species